GGGGAUUUAGCUCAGUGGUAGAGCACUUGCCUAGAAAGGGCAAGGCCCUGGGUUCGGUCCCCAGCUCCG
rfam:Rattus norvegicus chromosome 6, whole genome shotgun sequence.